rnacentral:rRNA from 1 species
CUGACCAGGACGCGCGUGGAGAUGAGCUCGGUCGUACUCUGUCUGGGGAAGAAACGGGAUGCGUGAUAUCAUCCGCUGACGUACCCCAGAGAAAGCUCGCUAUACGUGCAGCAGCGCGGUAAUACGUAAGGAGCAGCGUGUCCGGAUUUACUGGGCGUAAAGAGCUCGUAGCGCCCGAUCAGGUCUCGCGUAAAAUCCCCCGGCUCAACCCGGGGAGAGUCGCGGGAAACCGACCGGCUUGAGGACAGAAAAGGAAAGUGGAAUUCCCGGUGUAGCGGUGAAAUGCGUAGAUAUCGGGAGGAAUACCAGUGGUGAAGACGGCUUUCUGGUCUGUUUCUGACGCUGAGGAGCGAAAGCCAGGGGAGCGAACCGGAUUAGAUACCCGGGUAGUCCUGGCCGUAAACGAUGGAUACUAGGUGUGGGAGGUUCGACCCCUUCCGUGCCGCAGCUAACGCAUUAAGUAUCCCGCCUGGGGAGUACGGCCGCAAGGUUGAAACUCAAAGGAAUUGACGGGGGCCCGCACAAGCGGUGGAGCAUGUGGUUUAAUUCGAUGCAACGCGAAGAACCUUACCAGGGUUUGACAUGCUGGUGGUAGAAGCCCGAAAGGGUGACGACCUUCGGUUUUCCGAGGGAGCCAGCACAGGUGCUGCAUGGUUGUCGUCAGCUCGUGUCGUGAGAUGUUGGGUUAAGUCCCGCAACGAGCGCAACCCUUACCCUUAGUUGCGACCAGGUUAUGCUUGAGCACUCUAAGGGGACUGCCGGUGACAAACCGGAGGAAGGUGGGGAUGACGUCAAAUCCGCAUGGCCCUUAUGUCCUGGGCGACACACGUGCUACAAUGGCCAGUACAGAGGGUUGCGAACCCGCGAGGGGGAGCCAAUCCCAAAAAGCUGGCCCCAGUUGGGAUUGCAGGCUGCAACUCGCCUGCAUGAACGCGGAAUCGCUAGUAAUCGCGUAUCAGCUACGGCGCGGUGAAUGCGUUCCCGGGCCUUGUACACACCGCCCGUCACACCACGAAAGUCGAUUUUACCUGAAGUCACUGAGCUAACCCGCAAGGGAGGCAGGUGCCGAAGGUAGGGU